rnacentral:rRNA from 1 species
UACGUAGGGUGCGAGCGUUAAUCGGAAUUACUGGGCGUAAAGCGUGCGUAGGCGGUUGCAUAAGCUUGAUGUGAAAGCCCCGGGCUUAACCUGGGAAUGGCAUUGAGGACUGUGUGGCUUGAGUGCGGCAGAGGGAGGUGGAAUUCCACGUGUAGCAGUGAAAUACGUAGAGAUGUGGAGGAACACCGAUGGCGAAGGCAGCCUCCUGGGCCGACACUGACGCUGAGGGCACGAAAGCGUGGGGAGCAAACAGG